GGUAACCUGCCCAGAAGUAGGGGAUAACACCUGGAAACAGAUGCUAAUACCGUAUAACAGAGAAAACCGCAUGGUUUUCUUUUAAAAGAUGGCUCUGCUAUCACUUCUGGAUGGACCCGCGGCGUAUUAGCUAGUUGGUGAGGUAAAGGCUCACCAAGGCAGUGAUACGUAGCCGACCUGAGAGGGUAAUCGGCCACAUUGGGACUGAGACACGGCCCAGACUCCUACGGGAGGCAGCAGUAGGGAAUCUUCCACAAUGGACGCAAGUCUGAUGGAGCAACGCCGCGUGAGUGAAGAAGGGUUUCGGCUCGUAAAGCUCUGUUGUUAAAGAAGAACGUGGGUAAGAGUAACUGUUUACCCAGUGACGGUAUUUAACCAGAAAGCCACGGCUAACUACGUGCCAGCAGCCGCGGUAAUACGUAGGUGGCAAGCGUUAUCCGGAUUUAUUGGGCGUAAAGCGAGCGCAGGCGGUCUUUUAAGUCUAAUGUGAAAGCCUUCGGC
rnacentral:rRNA from 1 species